rnacentral:rRNA from 1 species
CACGCCGUAAACGAUGGAUGCUAGCCGUCGGAUAGCUUGCUAUUCGGUGGCGCAGCUAACGCAUUAAGCAUCCCGCCUGGGGAGUACGGCCGCAAGGUUAAAACUCAAAGGAAUUGACGG